UUCUCACAGGAUAUGCCCAUAUAUAUGGGGUUUGUUAGGAUAAACUCAUUAAUUUUUAUUAACGUGUGUUUUAAUAAAUAUAUAAUUAAAAAGUUGUUAAAUACAUCUUAAGGUGAAUGUUGCUACAACACUCCUUUUAAAAAAAGAAGUGUGUUUUAACAAAUUAUAACUAAAAAGUAGCUAAAUACACGUGUAAUUUGCUAAAACACUCUCACGUAAAAACUAGUGGAUUUGUUCUAUCAAAUCCAUAUAUAUAUAUAAUAUGGUAUUGCUAUAACACACCCAUUUAUUUUUAUGAAGGUGUACAUCAGCAUACAAUACCUUAUUAUUUGGACACUAAAAAAACUCUUUUCUCUCUCUUUAAUUGUUAUCUAUUAAAUGUCUCUAAAGUAAUUUUCAUACCCAAUCCCCAUUUUCUCUCUCAUGUCUCAGCCAGAGGAUUUUUGGUUCAAAGAAGGAAGAAAAUCUAGUUCAUGUGGUUCUUUGACAUUUAAAUGAUAACUUUUUGUCCUAACUUACUAUUUUUUUUUUGAAGCAACCUAACUUGCUAUUUAACUGUUGAAAUAAUAAUAACUGGUUUGUGUUGAGUUUUUUUUUUUUUGGUAAGAUUUAUUUUUUCUUUUGGUACAAAGCUGAGUUUUUUUUUUAAUGGUACAAUAUAUGUGUUAAUAACAAAGCCAACGUCAAAAAAAUAUAAAUAACGUUGCAAUUGUUGGGUUUUUUUUCUUAAUGCCAAAGAGGAACGAAAAGUACCAGCUUUUCUUUAUUAAAAAAAUAAAUGUACCAGCUUUUCUUCUAUCCACCAGAAUGAUUGGCCGAAAGAAAUGAGAGCAAGAGAGAGAAAUUGAGGUUUGGGUAUGAAAAUUACUUUAAGAGGCAUUCAAUAGGUCACAAUUGAAGAGAGAGAAAAGGGUUUUUAAUGUCCAAUUAAAAAGGUGUUACAUGCUACUGC
rnacentral:lncRNA from 1 species